UACGGGGGGGGCAAGCGUUGUUCGGAAUUACUGGGCGUAAAGGGCCAGUAGGCGGCCAACUAAGUCCGACGUGAAAUCCCAAGGCUUAACCUUGGAACUGCGUCGGAUACUGGAUGGCUUGAAUUCGGGAGAGGGAUGCAGAAUUCCAGGUGUAGCGGUGAAAUGCGUAGAUAUCUGGAGGAAUACCGGUGGCGAAGGCGGCAUCCUGGACUGGUCCUGACACUCAGGAGCGAAAGCGUGGGGAGCGAUCCGG
rnacentral:rRNA from 1 species